CUGUAGAUAUGUCAUAUCGGUUCUGGUAGGGAACAGCUAUCAGAGGUAAUGGGGAAAGAUUGGUGAAAAUCCAACACUGUCCCGCAACUGUGAUGAGAUAAAACAAAAGCUUUGUUUAUCUCUAAGUCAGGAUGCCCGCCGUAUUUUUUCUGAGUCA
rfam:Mastigocoleus testarum BC008 Contig-11, whole genome shotgun sequence.